GGUCUCCAAUAAACGUGCUCACCUCAACAAAAUUAUUGUACUACCUCAUAAUUAUUGUACUACAUCUGACGAUUUAUUGCUUCCCACCUCAAAAGGACAGUGAAAAUUGAAUACCCAGAGCUCAAGUUUUUCUCUCCUUUUCUCCCUUUUCUCUUACCGAGAGCUCUUUCCUCUUAAAUGCACGCCAAGACUCAUCAGUCAUCAACCAGCACCAACUCGCUACGCCUCAAACUCUCCGCCUCCGCUAAUUCGCCGUCUUCUUCAGUCACUCGGCUUGUGCAUCUUUACGAUCAAGCUCCCAUCAUAAUUCUUUGGGACAUUGGAACUGCGAGGCUCAGAACGAUAUAAAGAUCAUGGAUACAGUAAAGAGAUUUAAGUCGAAUGAGGCUAUUUGGCUAUGUGUGAUGGUAUAUCUAUGGCCUUUAUAUCGUUUUCUAAUGUCCCACAAAAUAUGGUGGGAGUCUAAAAUCCCCGACAACAUGAUCCUUACUCCGGUUACUGGUGCUAGAUUAGCUUCCGGUGGUUUUAUAGGCGCAGCAUUUGAACAAAGCAAGAGUCUCCAUGUGUUCCCAUUCGGUGUACGGGAGUAAGUAUCAAGUUUUUGGUUUCCACGUGAUCUCUGCAGGUGUCUCAUAAGCAUGGGGGUAAUGCACAAGGAGCUGAAACCUGACAACUUCUUUUUUGUAAACAUUAAAGAGAUUGCAACUCUUUUCUUCAAACCUGGUAUGGCAACAAUCUUAACCCACACCAUUCGUUUUCUUUACCGUCACGUUGCAACUUGCAAAGUAGAGUCCGGACAAUGAUUACACGCCAUGAAUUCCACUAUAAAUUGAAGUCUAAGGCAGCGACUGUGAUCCAGGUUCCUUUUCUCGUUACUCUUUUUCCAUACUUGACAAGUUCUUAUGGAAACAUUUCAUCUCAAAAAUAGAAAUGACUAAAUAACUCUUAAGAAACUUGCAGGCUCACUGGCGUGGUUACAAUGCUAUAGCUGAAUAGAAAUCUAAUAACAACCAGAGAUAAUCUUAAGACUUAUCUAGUGAGAAACUUAAAAAUAUGGUGCUUCAGUAAACCAAACUGCAGUACACUUCCUGAUGCUAAGUCUUGUUUAGUGUAUCCCAGGUUGUUUAUAUUCUAUGUCGGACCAAUUCUCGCAACUGAAGUCCAUCUUGAGAUCUCCUUCUAUGUCUUCAACAUUGUUUGCUUCAGCGCCAGUUGUAUGUAAUGAUCUUGUUGACAGCUCUGAGAACUCUGAAGCUUCAUCAACUGAUUCUGAUUUCACAUUUUCAGCUCCAUCUUCUACUUCUGCAGAUAAUCAAUCCACUAUCAAACGGAAUAAGUACAUUUAUAGGAGGAGUACACAACAUAUUGAAUUGUGUUUCCAAGUCAAAACACUUGCCUACUUUAUUCACCUUAAAUCCUUAAUAUAAUAAAGAGUUUGCAGAAGGAAUUCAUUGUUAAUGGAAUCAUCCUUCUUCUCAUCUUGUAAAACAAUAAUACAGUAUUGCAGGAACAGAGAACUAUGACAGUGAUAAGGCAGAGGGGUUUGAAGAUUACUUUUGAUGAUGAAGAGCCGUUUUUGAUCUCUGCACCAGAUAUUUUUGGAGUGCUGAUAAUAAUCUCUCUACUCCAUGGUUGUGCCUAAGGGCAAAUGUUUUAGUGUUUACAAUUAGUUCAAACUCCAAUUGUAGUUUUCUCAUGAUUUAAUGCAUACAAAAGCCACGUUGUUUCUCUACAUUUGCUUUCUUUUCAAUGCAAUUUUAUAUGUUUGAAAUC